rnacentral:lncRNA from 1 species
CCUGCUUCCUCAGCUACAUGCUGAUAAAAUGAGUUUCACCUGAAGAGUGUGGAGGCUGAGAUGCAGCAGACAGAUCUGGGAUGUGACCUGACAGGCAAAGGCACAGCAUGUUCCAGACUGCCACGGUGUUGCACCUCAGCGCUUGAGCUUACCUUCCCAAAGCUCAAGCACUCCAAGAAGCUCACCCAGCAGUGUGAACAAAUUGCCUGGAAAUGUCGUCAUCGGGCUUCAUCUGGCACUAUCUCCCUUUUUGUCUGGGUCAUUGAUUUCCUCUUCUCCUUUGCCUUAAAACCCACAUCAUACAUCAAUUUCUGAGUCUCCAGUACUAAGGCAGCUGCACUGUGCCUUCCCUACUCGACACCAGCAGCUUUCAGCCUCUGAAGCAUCCUUUACUGGUGCUCAUCUGAAGACCUCCUGAAUGUGUCUCAAGUGGCCUCCCUGCCUGCCACAUAACAGCCUGUGCUCUGCCAGCUUUUGUUUCAUCACAAGAGGGCUUAGAGCUGUUCUGCUCUCGGAAAUUGGGUAAAAUUUGGUCUCCUUCCUACAAUGACUCAGUGUGCUGGAGAAAUGACUCUUGCCUUGUGCAAGCAGCUAUGGCAGGGCACAGAGCUGUGCCAGCCUCUGCUAGCCACCAGCUCCCCUUGGGACAGCCCCUCAGCCAGCAAGGAGCUGGGGCUGCUCCGCACACACGUCUUACAAUUGCUAAGUAUAGAGUCCAUUGAUAUAUAAAACAAACGCGCGAAGAGUGCAAGAACCAGCAGAUGUUACAAUGUCGUCUUAGCUAACGGCUUUUUCCUGUUCUUUUGCUCUCAUCUUUGUGGCCCGUCAACACAGUCAUUUGCAAUUUGAGUAUGAAUCUUUGCACACCCAACUAAUAAUAUCAGUUCUCAUUGAAAGAGUUUCCAGGAUUAGGCUUGCAAUGUGCCAUUCAACCUUGAGAAAUGAUUCUGCAAGAUAAAAAAUCUUGUCUUGCUACUCGCUAGGGCUGUGGUCGCUCUGCACUCGUACUGAUCGGAGCUUACUCCCAGUCCUGGUCUGCUGCUGUCAUUCAAUGGCCAGGUACCACACUGCUCCUGUGUCAGACUUGUUUGCUGAGCUACAAACAGUUGCCUACUGUAGGUUUGCACAGCUAUUCCCAAGGAUCCAGUCUGCCCUGCAGAAACUUACUUGAGUUCUGUUAGGAGUAAUAAGGUUCCAC